rnacentral:lncRNA from 1 species
UAAGGAGAUAAUUCCUUAUUUAUAGAAGAAAGAUGACUAGAGUUUCAUAGUAAAAUGGGUCUAAUUUAUUGUCUAAUGGGCCUUGAGGUAGAAUGUAAAUCUACCCCCAACAAUAAGUCCCCCCAAGUUCGUAGAGAGAGAUGAAGUCGAUCUCUGUGAAUUUUACGAAUAGGGUUUAUUAGACAAUAAACUAGACACAUUCAUGCCUAUGAUGGUUUAGGCGAGUUUACUUCGAACUUGUGCCUAGUAAAAGGCAAGUUUGCUUUAAACUCGUGCUUAGUGAAAGACGAGUUUACUUGACUCAUGCUGAGACAGAGGCGAAUUUACUGAGAACUCGUGCCUAGUAGUAGGAGAGUUUCUGUAAACUCAUGCCUUGUCAAAGAUGAGUUUUUGUAAACUCGUGUCUAACAAUAAGUGAGUCUAAUGCAAAUUUGUGCCUAAUAUAAAGCAAGUUGAAUUUAAACUCGUGCCUAGUAAAAAUAAGUUUACCGAACUUUGCCGACCCGAAGUCUCGUGUUGAGAUCGUGUGUGCCGAGCAAGUUAUUGGCUUGUGUGUUCGUCAGGCAUGAUGACGUAAGAAAGCGCCGGCUUGUGCUGAUUCAGACAAGUUUGUAGCUGAGAGAUCGCCAUUCCAAGCAUGAGGACAUGACAGUAGCACUCACUUGUUGAUUCUCUUUGGCUCAACGAUCUAAUCAACUCUGGUUCACAACAAAAAGCAUGAUCAGAUCAAGGUUAACCAAAAGAACCAGCCAAGUUUUGUAUAAUUGAUAAGCAAGCGAUAGUUUAACUUGUGUUAAUGCUCGGCUAUUGCAUAUGAUGUUAGUAAUUUAUCAAUUACUAAUCAUUAUGCACAGGUUGCAAACAACAAAUCAAUCAACCGUAAUUAUCUCAUAAAGGUUAUAAGAUACUUAUCUUUGAGGAUGAGCCUUGUUUGUAACUUGACAAAGAAGUUAUUGUGGACGUGAUGACAUUUUGUGCUGACGAUCUCAAUGGAUCGCUCUUAUCAGAGCUGAGAUGACGGUGAACUCAAAGCUGAUGACUUUAUCUUUGUUCCUCACUGUUGAGAGCUCGUUUCCUUUUGCAACCUCUUCUUCGUAUUUUUUUUUUGAGAUGACAAACUCGUAUGCCGGUUCAUGUUCAAAGCGGAGGUUAAGCAUGAAGCGUCGAGAGAGUACCACAGGCCUAGUGAGGAAGAUAACUUAGGAGUGUGCAUGAGCUUGAGCCUCUUGAUCCUUGAACUUGAGCUCGAGCUUCUUGAUGGCUGACGUGCGUGCAUGACCUUUAGCCUCGUGACCGUCGAGCAAGUGAUGGAGCUUUAGGCCCGCAAGAAGCUUCGUUGAUGGAGCUUUGAAGACGUCAUGGUGAUGAAGCCAUAAGAAACCGGGUGCCGAGAUCACAUGAUCACCUCUGUUUCUCGGCGGUGUACCGGACGAGCUUGAACUUACAUUGUUGUUUGGCGUUGACUUGUGCCUAGUAAAUCACAUGACUGUUGCUCGGCGUUAACCCGCACGAUCUCAAGGCUUCUGUCGCAACAAGAGCAGUCAUCGACGAGGUGAGACGAGAUGGACCUUGAACGGAGGCACGCAAACGAGGCCUUGAAGAGCUUGCGGUAAUGACGUGCUUGUCUAGAGAGCUUUCUUGAAGAAGCAAGACCUUGUUGGAGAGGUUGUCAUCGACAUGAUCAUAACCAAUUGAACCUUCUCCUCGUCAUGAAGGAGCUCUCCUCCUAUUCUCACGCUCAUGCCAAGGUUAAAGCCUUUGUCGGGUAGAAAGAUGCGACCGAUUCCCUUUGCUGUGUGAAAGCAAAGGCCAGAGCUGUCCUUGGGCUUCUUGGGAUACAGCGAUCUCGGGAUGAAGAAGAGACAGCACUUGCUACAGCGGUCUCGUCUUAAAGAUGAGGCAAGAACUUCCUGUCACUCGGUUUCGUCUUUAACGAAGACGAGGAGCUUGUACUAUCCCGUCAGUGUGGCGAGCUUGUGUGAUGCAGUGAUCAAGCUCGUUUAUCAGACGAGAGCCAGAAAUGAGCAGGGUCUGUAAGCUUCCGAGCUGACUGGUAUGGCCUAGCCCUUAGUUCACCGUGAAAUUACGCUCCAUUCUAUUAAACAAAGACAUUAGAAGUUGAAAAUAAUUCGUAAGAAACUAUUUAAUAAUGCUUUGGAGAGUUAUGCAAGGUAGCUUGUCAAUUAUCUAUGGGAACAAUCGUUCAAAGUAUACAAUAAUUUAUAACAUUGACUCAGCGAAUGAAUAAUUGAUAAAUAAUUAAUCAAGAAUCCACGACUUGCACAAAGUGUGAAGUAUUAUUUAGUGGUAAUGGAUAAUUGACCAAAUAUUGAAAAGGAGACUUAUCUUUUUUUUUUUGUGUAGGCAAUUUUGAUGGAGAUAUCUUGUGCCAGUCUGGAGGGAUUUCGAACAGGAAGGUAUCUUGUAGUUACCAGGUCCACAAGUGAGUAGAUUCCCUGGUUUAAUCCAUUUAUGAGAUGCAUCUCCCCAUUUCACUUCUUCUAGAGCUACCCAACCUAACCCUUGUACGAAUGCUCCUUCUAUCUGCAAAACAUGUUCAGGUUUCAGACACAAACGCAACACUCUUGUCUUAAUGAUUUCAAGUGGUUUUGUUUCAAGUACUUGUCCAAUAUCUAUGGCUGGGUUAAGAGAAUAUCCCAGGUCCAACUUUAUAUCGACCGUUUUUGUGUGAAAGUCACCGGUUAAUGUAUCGAUCUCAACUUCCGCAAAUGCAGCUCCGUAGGUGUAAUAUCUGAAUGGGUUUCCUUUACCGGAGAUCCAGUCAAAGCCAACAUCGGGAACAAUGUAAAAGCCAUGAGCAGAGAGGUCUAUUCGUUGAAAAUAGCAUGCACUUGCCAGCUACAUACCAAUCAAAACAAAGCAGGUUAAGAGAGUUUUAUUCAUCAAAAGGCAAAGAAUGUUUCAUUGAGUUACCUCAGCCAAGGAGUUGCCACUGAGCUUAGUGGCAAGAGGCUCCAUUCGUGCUUUAAUCUGCUCACACCGUACAUGUCAGAGCUCAGAGAAGCAGCGGUUGGUGACGCAUUUGGAACAUAGUUACAUCUUAUUUCUUAACACUUUAUAUUAUAAAUAUUACCUUGUCGGUGCUCGUCUCUGAUACAAAAACGGAACUAAGGGGAAUGUUAAAGGCAUAAGCAGCAACUUGAGAAACCUUUGUAUGCAAUCCUUGACCCAUCUCUACACCUCUAUGUGUCACCAAAACAGUACCGUCUGUGUACACAUACACAAGAGCACCUGCCUAACACCCAAAAAUUAAAAUGGAUAUAAGUAACAAAAACUCUGUUUCUUGCUUCUCAAGAAAUAGUAUUGCAAGAUAGACUUACCUGGUUCAUGAACGUUUUGGUAAAUGAUACGCCAAACUUUGUGGGAACCAUAGCCACACCACGCUUUUUCCACCGGUUGUGGCUAUUAAACUCGUCGACAUCUCUACGAGCCUUUAGAAAGUUGCAAGACACUUUCAGCUCCUUCCAGAGCUGAUGCAGUGUGCAAUGCUGAAUACACUGAGAGUAAUGUGUGAUAGAGCCUUCCACUUGAAAGUUCAUCUCCUAAAGUAACACCCAAGAAAGCAUCAAAACAUGAGAAAUAAUUCCUAUGAACUUUCAGGAACAUUAUGAUUUCUUCAGGGCUUCUAUUAAGUUCAGCUGCGAUUCUCUGGAUCCAGUUUUCGGUUAUAAGCAUGCCUUGCGGACCUCCAAAGCCUCGGAAAGCAGUGUUGCUAGGAUAGUUAGUAAAGCAAACGUUCCUCUGAUCCUCACAUGUGGAUCUCAUAGACAUUAUCAGAGUUAAACAUUGCAANNNNNNNNNNNNNNNNNNNNNNNNNNNNNNNNNNNNNNNNNNNNNNNNNNNNNNNNNNNNNNNNNNNNNNNNNNNNNNNNNNNNNNNNNNNNNNNNNNNNCACUUGAGUAGACGAUAUUCCUUAUUGUUGCAACCAUUGCAUAUUCCCCCGUCUCUUCAAUGGAAUUGUCAGAUAAUACGAAAGUGGUAAUAUAAGGGAUGGGGGUGAUGACGUUCAAAUGGGCUCAGAAACUGAACCGCACAAGACAUCCAACUUCGUAUACCGAUCCUUGUAUAUGAAUCCAUUGCACAUUCGACUGCAAGCAUAAAUCCGAAGGUAUCUAGCUCCUUGUUUGUAAAUAAGUGAGCCGUUCAUUGUGUAACACAUGCCUUUUCUUUUUAGGACAUUUAGCACAGCACUGAUGGAGAGAAAAAUCACAAUCCAACAUCCAUAAAAGGAUUGGAGACCAAUGGGAUGGGUGCAUGCGCUGCAUCGUUUUGGUAUCCCCUCAUACAAAACACCAUUCUCAUUGAAUCUGAGUAAUGCUCUUUGUGGCUGAAAUGUUGUAUUGUGUUGUCGUCUAUCACCACAUAUGGUUCUAUAUCUUCUUCUUCUUCAGGUACUCCUUCAAGCUCUUCAUGUUCCAAACAUCAUAUCUGGUAGCACAUUUAGAAUGAACAACAUAGUUAGGGCACGUCUGACAAGAAAUCCUCCACAAGUCCAGUCCCCUUCUUGUGACAAACUUCGCAUACGAGAAUUCAUAGCACCAUCACCAAGAAGCAAAGUACGAGAAACACGGUGAUCAUGUCGAUUGAUGUUAAUGACACGAGGAAGACCAAGACAGCCUUGAUGGAUCAUGAAAUCACAUUGAACACACAUGUAAGGGCUUCGAUCUCCCUUGAGCCCACAAGCAUUACAUGUGAAUGAAAGCAUCUUGGAAGAAGCUUGAGUUGGUGAUCAUGAGCUUUCAAGUUCAAAAGAGAUUGUGGUGGCGGAUUCACAACACAACGCCAAUCAAGGUGAAGUUACAAGAAAAAAAUGAUAAAACAAUUCUUUAUCAACCUUUCUUCCGCAAAGACGACAUUUACCAUCAGAAUAGUCAGGUGGUGGACCCUUGAAUAGCUUAAGAGGAUGCAAGAGUGAUAAGGGUGGUUUACCUCUGUUGAGUGCUCUAGUGCUGCUGGGUGCCAUACACAUUCCACAUGAAAGGCUACAGCAUCACAUUCAUUACAUUGGUAAUAAAAUCCACAAGAAAUCCUGCAGCAUAUGCAGAAGUCUUCCCGCAUUUUGCAGAACAGUGGAAGGCGCUCAGUUCCUUGACAAAUGUGAGCUUGUGGGGAUGCAUCUCAAAAUUUUCAAUAAUAUCUGGUGGUGGGUACUUGGCACAGUGUAGAUCCAUGUGGAAGUCACACAUCUCGCAACGAUAGGAUAGAUUUUGGAUUUUACUAUCACAUAUAUAGCAUACGUGAUCUUCUCGUUUUUCUUGAAGCCGGAGAGUGUGAUCGGGGUGAGAUGGGUGGUCGCUGAUGAAUUCAGACAGCUCGUCGCCACACUUCUUGUGCACGAAGAAAUCACAGAGUUUACAAUAGUAGCCAUCACUCUGAGGUUCAAAGCAAUCACAGCAAUCGCCUUUCCUCAUAUGAUGAUCAUUCCAAGGCGUCAUAGGAUGCUCGUGAAACAAUGGUAACAACACUCCUCCCUCAGAUUCCAUUUUGCUCUCUAGUAUACUAAAGAAGAUGAAGAAGAAGAAGGAAAGAUUGAAUAAGGGAGAUAGAUUCCUUGAAUAAUGGUGUGGUGUGUUUUCUCAAAGCUAUAUCUCUUCUCUCUGGCCACUCAAACUUAUCCCCUCUCAAGUUUCUUCUUUGUUUUCAUAUUUCGAUAAAGAAAAGGUUCCCUAUGCUUAAGUGGGGUUGUCAGCUUUGUUUUCUCUUUUACUUUUCUGGUUUUCUUUUUGCUUUUUCUCCAAAUGCGUAGUAUUGUCACUUAUCAGCUGCAUAACCGUAACGAAGAAAGAUGGUGGACGCUCAAGAAGCUAUAGUUCUGGCAGCAUUUGCCUCUUUCAGGAUAGCCUUGAUUUUUUUUCAUUAUAGUUGCAACUAUUUUGAUGACCAUGACCUAAGUUGAAGGUUAUGCAUCACUUUUGUUAUUUAGAUAGACGAUCAGCUGAGAAAUAAUUCUGGUUCAUUGUCGUCACUGUCUUUCUUGGAUAUAUCAUUAUAGAGACAUCGUUUCAGCUGUUUAAAAUCUUUCCUCGAGCAUGUUCUGAUUCAUUGAGUCCAGAGUUUCAAACCCGGGAUAAUAUAUGAAACAUAUCAAUCAGACUUUUUUUUAUAACAAACCUUUACCAAGCAUUUUACAUGUAAGACUGAGGGUUACUGUGCUCUUCGUUCUCAAGGGAAGAUAUUGCAGAAAACGUAGAGCUGAAAACAUUAGGAGAAACAAUAGUCUUGGAAGGAAAAACAGUCUCCAUUGAUAAAAAGUAGAUGAACACGGUGAUUGAUGUUAAUGACCCGUGGAAGGCCAAGACAGUCUUGAUGAAUCAUGAAACCACAUGGAACACAUAUGUAAGGGCUUUGAUCUCCCUUGAGGCCACAAGCAUUACAUGUAAAAAAAAAUCGAGUCUUGGAAGAAGAGUGAGCUGGUGAUCAUGAGUGGGGGGGUUCAAAACAAUUCUAAGGCAAAGACGACAUGUUCCAUCAAACACAAGGCAUAUCCAAGGUGAAGUUACAAGAAUAACAAUGAUAAAACAAUUCUUUAUCAAUCUCUCUUGUGUUUGGAGUUUGAUUUGGCUUUGAUGGCGACGAGGAACCGAACGACGGUGUACAGGAAACACAGAGACGCGUGCUCCUCUGUCUGAUUCGUUCGGUGGUCCGGUGAUCGAAAAUGGUUAGUGUUUGAUCCAAAAAUGGUGUUUAUCUUUGUGAUGUUUGUUGGAAUCAAUCAAAUAAAGAAUCUAAAGAUAAAAGCUUAGAUUCUUGAGGUUUAGGAGAAAUCUUAAAAGAAUCAAAUGAGAAAUGAACAUCAAAAGAGUUUAUUGAUUUAAGAUUGUAUUACAUGUAGGAUUACAAGUGUAAAUAAAUCUAAUAAUUCAUAAACCCUUUGUAAGAAGUGUUCUAAGUCUAAAAUGAAGAAGACCCCCCGUCUAAUAAGGAGAUAAUUCCUUAUUUAUAGAAGAAAGAUGACUAGAGUUUCAUAGUAAAAUGGGUCUAAUUUAUUGUCUAAUGGGCCUUGAGGUAGAAUGUAAAUCUACCCCCAACAAUAAGUCCCCCCAAGUUCGUAGAGAGAGAUGAAGUCGAUCUCUGUGAAUUUUACGAAUAGGGUUUAUUAGACAUAAACUAGACAAUUCAUGCCUAUGAUGGUUUAGGCGAGUUUACUUCGAACUUGUGCCUAGUAAAAGGCAAGUUUGCUUUAAACUCGUGCUUAGUGAAAGACGAGUUUACUUGACUCAUGCUGAGACAGAGGCGAAUUUACUGAGAACUCGUGCCUAGUAGUAGGAGAGUUUCUGUAAACUCAUGCCUUGUCA